UACGUAGGGUGCAAGCGUUGUCCGGAAUACUGGGCGUAAAGCGUGCGCAGGCGGUGAUGUAAGACAGAUGUGAAAUCCCCGGGCUCAACCUGGGAACUGCAUUUGUGACUGCAUCGCUGGAGUGCGGCAGAGGGGGAUGGAAUUCCGCGUGUAGCAGUGAAAUGCGUAGAUAUGCGGAGGAACACCGAUGGCGAAGGCAAUCCCCCUGGGCCUGCACUGACGCUCAUGCACGAAAGCGUGGGGAGCAAACAGG
rnacentral:rRNA from 1 species